rnacentral:lncRNA from 1 species
AUACCCUUAAUAUUUCUUGAUCAACCCAAAAAAUAUGAAUCCAAACAGAAUUCUUACUGUUAUAGAGGUUACCUACUAUCUGACCCAACUUUCCCUCCUCGAAUCAUAGCUAAGCAUCUAUCGAUGAUCCGACAAGACCACCUCAGAUGUCGGAGAGAGAUAUGAGGAUUCAAGGUGAAGCGGGGCUUUAUCAUCAACUCUUGUUUGAUCUCC